UGAUUGGGCGUAUAGGAUACGUAGGUGGUAAAAAAAGUUAUGUAUAACUAAAUUGGUAACAGGUAAGUACAUAAUACUUUUUACUUAAGUAUAUUUAAGGUUAAUAAAACUUAUAAAUCAGCGAUGAAAUGCCAAGAGUUUAUAGGUUUAUCCUAAUGACGAAAGUAAUUAACCAAUUUAUACUAAUACUGAGGUAUGAAAGUAGGAACAACGACGAGGAUUAGAGACCCUCUUAGUCUUACUAUAAACGAUGAGUAUGAUAUUACAAAUGUAAUAUAAAUUAACAUGAGAAUACUCCGCCUGGGUAGUACAAUCGCAAGAUUGAAACUUAACAGAAUUGGCGGGAAUCUGACCAAACGGUGGAACAUGUGGUUUAAUGCGAUAAUCCACGCAAAAUCUUACCAAUGUAUUAAACUUAAUCUUUAUAUAAUUUUUAGCAAAAUCAUAUAUUGGGUUAUUUUUUUGGUACUGCAUGGCUGUCGUCAGUUCGUACUUUGCAGUCUAGAAUUAAGUUUUUCUAACGAACGCAACUUCUGCGAUUUAUAUUAAAAUAAAAAAUUUAAAUUUUUUAUUUUUUUUUUAUUUUUUUAAAUCGAAGUUCUAUUAAUAUAUUAUAUUAAUGGGGGGAAGAUUAGGAACUGAAGUCAAGUCUUUAUGGUCUGAAUGUGUUGGGCUACACACGUGUUACAAAGGUAAAAACAAAAAGUUUCAAAAGUGCGAACUUGAGAAAAUCUUAAAAAAUUACCUUAGUUCGGAUUGUUUUCUGUAACUCGAAAACAUGAAGUUGAAAUCGUUAGUAAUCGUAAAAUAGUAUGUUACGGUGAAUGAUUAUUCAAAUUUUGCACACACCGCCCAUCACGCC
rnacentral:rRNA from 1 species